CUGGUAGAGGAGACGAGAAAUAUGUAUAUGUAGCACUUGUUGCAGUCCUGCCAAAGCGGUAGUCGGUGUAAGCGAGAAUGGGUCCGGGAGCUGCAACUGCAAGCGAGCCGCCAUAUCCAAGUACUGCGAGACUUUCUGACUCUCAGUGCUACGAUCAAUACACGGCCUCUCUGAAAUGUUUGGAAGUAUUUAAAUCUGAUAAGAGUAAAUGUCAAGAACAUUUUGACAUAUACAAGGCAUGCAAGAAGAAAGAGAGGGAAGCUCGAUUGGAACGCAACAAGAGUCGAUCCUUAUUCUCAUGAAGUCUCUCUCUCUCUCUCAGAGAUCUGAAAUUCAUACUUGGGCAGUGGAUUGGUGGGAGUUUUUAGUUGAGCUGUGCAACUGCCCUGGACUCUGGGGAGUGAUGGUAUUCCGGUGAGAUGUGAGAGACUUGACAGAACAAGAGAAAAUAACUUUUUUAACUCUGUCAUGGCAUAGUGUUGGCAAAGGCAGGUACAGGGACGGACUCCAAGUGGCAUGUAAGCGUGGGGAGUCUUGCAAGCCCCUAAAAUUCCAUUGCAAAAUCUUCCUGGGUUAAAUUGUUGUGCAUCAGGUCCCCAUAGAUCAGUACUCUGUUGUAGUGUUGGGAUUGGAAUCGUGAUGUUUAGAUCUUUCUGAAUGUCUCUGAAAAAAAUAUCUUCCAUUGCUUCUCUGCUCA